UAGAGUUUGAUCCUGGUUUAGAUUGAACUCUGGCGUCAGGCCUAACGCAGGCAAGCUACGACCGGACACACACUAAUCGGGCCCUUCCGGGUCCUGAUUACGUUGUUCGAGCGGCGGCCGGGUGAGUAAUACCUAGGAAAUUGCCCUGAUGUGGGGGAUAACCAUCUGGCAAACUGGUGGCUAAUGCUCGCAUAAGGCCUACGGGCCAAAAACGGGGGGCCUUCGGGCCUCUCGCCUCUAGGAUAAGCCUAGGUGGGAUUAGCUAGUUGGUGAGGUAAUGGCUCACCUGGGGCGCCGAUCCCUACGCCUGGUCUGCGAAGGAG
rnacentral:rRNA from 2 species